UCUAGCUGUCAGGGGGAUAGAGGAAAGUCCUCUGUAGGGUGAGUUUAAAGAGCCACAGGAAUGUGGAACAGGAACAUUUUUAAUGAUUUAUCAAAUGAGACGAUACAGUUCACCUUCUAGUUAUUCUCUGCUAAACCCGACAAUCAACCUACAAAUUUCAACCACCAUUUAGUCAGCAUGAUUUCUCCUUGCCUUCAAGCCUCCUCUGGGGAAAGUGGAGAGAGGCUGUUCUAACUACUUGACAAGAGCUUCCUGGCAUCCUUGGCAAGCGGGUUCUUUCUUAGUGGCACCAAAUAAUAAAUGGUUCUUAGAAUGGCCAUGGGAAUCAUUCAAUAAAACAGUGACUGUAGUAUCCCCA